UACGAAGGGGGCUAGCGUUGCUCGGAAUUACUGGGCGUAAAGCGCACGUAGGCGGUCUUUUAAGUCGGGGGUGAAAUCCUGGAGCUCAACUCCAGAACUGCCUUCGAUACUGGAAGACUUGAGUCCGGGAGAGGUGAGUGGAAUUCCGAGUGUAGAGGUGAAAUUCGUAGAUAUUCGGAAGAACACCAGUGGCGAAGGCGACUCACUGGACACGUAUUGACGCUGAGGUGCGAAAGCGUGGGGAGCAAACAGG
rnacentral:rRNA from 1 species